rnacentral:misc_RNA from 1 species
AACAGCAUCAGCCAGUGC